rnacentral:sRNA from 1 species
CUGUGCCUACCUUCCUGACCUCGUGUACCUGGACUACCGGCGCAUUGAUGACCACACAGCAAGUGUCUCCCUCUCAGUCUCCCAGCCCUGUGAGACAGAGUCCUCAAGCCCCCAGGUUUCUUGGAAAAGGGGCAUUGAAGAGUAGCUUCCCCUGCCCACAACUAGGAGAGAAAGGGCAGCUCCCUCUUCCUAAUCCCUUUACCUGACUCUGUCAGAGUGAUUCCAGCAGCACCCUUGUAAGUACUGUUUUGUGUGCGUUCCCAGGGGCCAGGCCUCUUCCACACACUGUCCCAGGGCCACCUCACAGCCAUCCUGCACUGUCUAGUUUUCCAGAUGAAGAAGCUGAGGAGGGCUGGGAGCAGUGGCUCACGCCUGUAAUCCCAGCACUUUGGGAGGCCGAGGCGGGAGGAUUGCUUGAGCCAAGGAGUUCAAGACCAGCCUGGGCAACAGAGUGAAAAAACUUCUGAUUUUCACUCUGAUGGGAGACCCCAUCUCUACAGAAACUACCAAAAUUAGCCAGAAAAAGCUUGCGGAGGCUAAGCACCAGUACAGCAUCGAUGAGCUGAAGCA